CAUGCAAGUCGAACGGUGAAGCCCCGCUUGCGGGGUGGAUCAGUGGCGAACGGGUGAGUAACACGUGAGCAAUCUGCCUCUGACUCUGGGAUAAGCGCUGGAAACGGCGUCUAAUACUGGAUACGAACCGUGGCCGCAUGGUCAAUGGUUGGAAAGAUUUUUUGGUCAGGGAUGAGCUCGCGGCCUAUCAGCUUGUUGGUGAGGUAAUGGCUCACCAAGGCGUCGACGGGUAGCCGGCCUGAGAGGGUGACCGGCCACACUGGGACUGAGACACGGCCCAGACUCCUACGGGAGGCAGCAGUGGGGAAUAUUGCACAAUGGGCGAAAGCCUGAUGCAGCAACGCCGCGUGAGGGAUGACGGCCUUCGGGUUGUAAACCUCUUUUAGCAGGGAAGAAGCGAAAGUGACGGUACCUGCAGAAAAAGCGCCGGCUAACUACGUGCCAGCAGCCGCGGUAAUACGUAGGGCGCAAGCGUUAUCCGGAAUUAUUGGGCGUAAAGAGCUCGUAGGCGGUUUGUCGCGUCUGCUGUGAAAUCCCGAGGCUCAACUUCGGGUCUGCAGUGGGUACGGGCAGACUAGAGUGCGGUAGGGGAGAUUGGAAUUCCUGGUGUAGCGGUGGAAUGCGCAGAUAUCAGGAGGAACACCGAUGGCGAAGGCAGAUCUCUGGGCCGUAACUGACGCUGAGGAGCGAAAGGGUGGGGAGCAAACAGGCUUAGAUACCCUGGUAGUCCACCCCGUAAACGUUGGGAACUAGUUGUGG
rnacentral:rRNA from 1 species